UAUAAAAAUUAUUCAAGUGUGUAACAUUAUUCAUUAUCACUGUACUUUUCAGAAGUCACAGCAUAUCUCAGCACUUUAAAUGAAAGUCCUUAGUUAACGAAACAUUAAAAUUAACAAUAUUAGCACUUAAAUAGAAAAUCGAGAUACAUUAGAAAAUAGUUGUGAAUUUAUAUAAGAUAUAUUUUCUAAUUAAUUUAUUCUAUGGUUAUCAUGAAAAGUUUAAUAGUUGUCACGAUUGUACUUUUCGCCGUUUAUCAGGCAGUAGAUGGUGUUACAUGUUUUCGUCGGUGCGACAACGUGAAGUGUGACAAUGAAAAUCUCGUGUGCAGUGAUUCUGAAAUUCUGCUUAAAAAUGGAAGUUCCUGCAGGUGUUGUGAUGACUGCCACAGAAAAAUAUAUGAAGGAACUCCUUGCUUGCCACAUUUUUGGGGAGUUCCAUUGAGAGCAAAAUGUGUAGAUGGAUUAAUAUGUCAGCAUGACGAGAAGGUACAGAUGUCUGUAUGCACCAAAAAAAAUUAAAACCAGAAUUUUUGUUUGUAUGAAUAAAUGAUACACAUGA